UACGUAGGGGGCAAGCGUUGUCCGGAAUCAUUGGGCGUAAAGAGCGCGUAGGCGGCCCUGUAAGUCCGCUGUGAAAGUCCAGGGCUCAACCCUGGGAUGCCGGUCGAUACUGCCGGACUAGAGUUCGGAAGAGGCGAGUGGAAUUCCCGGUGUAGCGGUGAAAUGCGCAGAUAUCGGGAGGAACACCAAUGGCGAAGGCAGCUCGCUGGGACGUUACUGACGCUGAGACGCGAAAGCGUGGGGAGCAAACAGG
rnacentral:rRNA from 1 species